rnacentral:rRNA from 1 species
UUGGGGUGCUCGAGUGGCGAACGGGUGAGUAACACGUGAGUAACCUGCCCUUGACUUUGGGAUAACUUCAGGAAACUGGGGCUAAUACCGGAUAGGAGCCCCUGCUGCAUGGUGGGGGUUGGAAGGUUUCGGCGGUUGGGGAUGGACUCGCGGCCUAUCAGCUUGUUGGUGGGGUAGUGGCCUACCAAGGCGGCGACGGGUAGCCGGCCUGAGAGGGUGACCGGCCACAUUGUGACUGAGAUACGGCCCAG